UAUGAGAUGGACCCGCGUCUGAUUAGGUAGUUGGUGGGGUAACGGCCUACCAAGCCGACGAUCAGUAGCCGACUGAGAGGGUGACCGGCCACAUUGGGACUGAGACACGGCCCAAACUCUACGGGAGGCAGCAGUGGGGAAUAUUGCACAAUGGGGGAAACCCUGAUGCAGCGACGCCGCGUGAGCGAUGAAGUAUUUCGGUAUGUAAAGCUCUAUCAGCAGGGAAGAAAAUGACGGUACCUGACUAAGAAGCACCGGCUAAAUACGUGCCAGCAGCCGCGGUAAUACGUAUGGUGCAAGCGUUAUCCGGAUUUACUGGGUGUAAAGGGAGCGUAGACGGAGUGGCAAGUCUGAUGUGAAAACCCGGGGCUCAACCUCGGGACUGCAUUGGAAACUGUCAAUCUAGAGUACCGGAGAGGUAAGCGGAAUUCCUAGUGUAGCGGUGAAAUGCGUAGAUAUUAGGAGGAACACCAGUGGCGAAGGCGGCUUACUGGACGGUAACUGACGUUGAGGCUCGAAAGCGUGGGGAGCAAACAGGAUUAGAUACCCUGGUAGUCCACGCCGUAAACGAUGACUACUAGGUGUCGGGCAGCAAAGCUGUUCGGUGCCGCAGCAAACGCAAUAAGUAGUCCACCUGGGGAGUACGUUCGCAAGAAUGAAACUCAAAGGAAUUGA
rnacentral:rRNA from 1 species